UGCUGCGGUUGGGCUCAGGCUGUGCUGGCGCUCGGUGAGCAGCCUCCAAUUAGCAUGUGACAUCCUUUGGGGGAGCCUGGCCAGCCCCAGCUCCCGGGGAGCGAGGCUGUGCUGGGCUCCCGAGCCCCCUGUGCCCCGUGCCGGGAUCUCUGUGCCUCGUUCCGGCCGGAUGAGCUCCGCCACCGCUGCUCUCGGCUCUGCAAAAUGCAAAUUGCUGCGCUUGACCUCCCCGGGAUAACGAGGGGAAACCUCCCCUAAUUAGCACUGCAGUCUGUGGAACACAACGGAAUCAAGGCAAAGCUGCGGUGCAGCGUCCUCCUCCCUGCCAGGACACCCUGGAGGGCCGGCGGUGGAGGCACGGCAAUCCCGGGGACACGGAGAGGACAGCAGCAAUUCCAGGGGUGUGCGCACAGCAUUUACAGGCAUCAGUGACAAGAACCCUGGUGUCCUUUGAGGGGACCCUGCGGGACGGCUGCAGCAAGGAUUUGCAGCUGGUGUAAUUACCACUUAACCUGGAGGAGGGAUGUACCCAGCGUGCCCGGCAGCUCGAUACACUCGCAACUGAGCAGCCUCCACCGCAGAUAAUUAAAAGAGAAGGGCUCCUGCCUGCCUGGCCUCGGCAGCCGAGUGUUUGUUUUAGUCAGGAGAACCUCGUGUGCCUGAGCUCAUCCCAGGGCUGCCGGCUCCUCUCAAGGCUCCCGAAAGCCAAGCCGGCCUCAUCUCAGCCGCAAUUUCCAUGUGAUUAUUGCCUCCUCGGAAAUUCAGCUCAGGCUGUCCUUCCCUCGCCUGGUUCCAGCCUCCAAGGAGACCCGGCUCCAGCCCGGGGGAUUGGGAUCACGGCUGCUCCUCGCUCACUCCUGGCCUCAUCCCUCAUCCACCCUGCUGAGCUGGGAGGAUGAGAACAAACUGUUUAUAAGAUGCCCAAUUAACGUUUCUGCUAUCAGAGUCAUGCCAGGAAAAGGAAACAGGCUCAUUUCACACAGCCACUGCUUCCCUGCUAUCACUGUGUCCCACAGAGCACCAGGGACCGCUUCUCCUGUCCUGAGCUCUGCCCGAGCCCCAGCUCCAGGGGGACAGCAGGGUCACCCACACUGACCUUUUCCAUCCCCCCUCCUCAAUGACAACAGCAAGAA